GAUGAACGCUGGCGGCGUGCCUAACACAUGCAAGUCGAACGGAACUAUUUUGGAAACUCCUUCGGGAGCGGAAUCUUUAGUUUAGUGGCGGACGGGUGAGUAACGCGUGAGCAAUCUGCCUUUAAGAGGGGGAUAACAGUCGGAAACGGCUGCUAAUACCGCAUAAAGCAUUUAGUUUGCAUGGUUUCGAUGCCAAAGGAGCAAUCCGCUUUUGGAUGGGCUCGCGUCUGAGUAGCUAGUUUGCGGGGUAACGUCUCACCAGGGCGACGAUCAGUAGGCGGACUGAGAGGGUGAACGGCGACAUUGGGACUGAGACACGGCCCAGACUCCUACGGGAGGCAGCAGUGGGGAAUAUUGCGCAAUGGGGGAAACCCUGACGCAGCAACGCCGCGUGAUUGAAGAAGGCCUUCGGGUUGUAAAGAUCUUUAAUCAGGGACGAAAAAUGACGGUACCUGAAGAAUAAGCUCCGGCUAACUACGUGCCAGCCGCCGCGGUAA
rnacentral:rRNA from 1 species